AUGAGUAUAGAGCAGGAGUGAAGGCAGGAGGCCAGGGAAGGGAUGCUCUCAGAGGGGUGUGCUGAUGGAGACGCUAGAUUCCAAAUUAGGGUGUGAUACGGGGCCAACCGAGAAGAGAAACUACGGUGUCAAAUCCCACGCCCCCCACCCCAAAGGCAUGCAAGGGUCAGAAAGCAAGUUGCCCGCCCUCGCUCACUUGGCCCCGCACGUUGAAGCCGUAGCCGGACUCGGACUUGACGAUGCGCACGACCCGCGGGCCGCCGCCUCCCCCGCCGCCGUUCCCGGCGCAGUGGAGCCCAGACCCCCCGCCGCCGCCGCCACCUCCGUUCCUGUGAGGGGCUGAGGGAUGAAUCCCUUCCCCGUCCUCGUCCGCCAUCUUGCGAGCAGGCGAGCCGUACCCCCGCCCCCUACGCCUCCAAGGCCUCCCGGCGCGUGCUCGCCCUGCCUGGCAGCCGGACGACCCCCGACGCGCGCGCCCGAUCCGCCGGCCGCGGGACCGACUCGGCCACCGAGCUGCUGGCGCGGGGUGAAGAGGAGGCAGGGGGCGGGCGAAAAGCGGACAAUCGGGCACCGUGGGGCCUCCUGGGAGAUGUAGUUUAUGGGUGGCGGGGGCGGGGAGCGGUCUGGGCCUGGGCCUGAGCCGAGGUUAUAAGACGCAGUUCGGAAGCAAGGCCUGCCGGGAGUUGUAGUUUAUCUUUCAUGCUGGGUUAGGAGUUUGAUCUGCUGGGUGGGGAGAGUAUAACCCAGCACCCAGCGUGGUAAAAUGAUUCAGUUCUUGAUGCGGACCAAGUUUUUCGCCCCCCCCCCUUUCAUUUCAUAACCUCUAAAAAACAAUAAUGUUAGAAUAACUUAACGUUUGUGAUUCAACACAGUCUUAAAUUAUAUCAACUCAUUUUUUGGCACAGUAACUUAUAUGUUGACCAGGGCCCAACAACCUGUGAGGCAACCGGAUCACGAUUAGCUUCCCUAUUUUACGUUAUUAGGAAACAACCUUAGAGUGCUCAAAGUCAUCCAGCUACUAAGUAUCAGGAACUAAGGCCCAGUUAUUGUGCAACUUUCUUGUCCUGUAUUGCAACUACAGUCAUGUGCCACAUAAGGACAUUUUGGUCUACAAUGGACUGCAAACACGAGGGAGGCCCCCUAAGAUGAUAAUGGAGCUGAAAAAUGUCUAUCACCUAGUGGCACAGUAGCCACCAUAAGGUCAUAGCACAAGCAUUACUCACAUGUUUGGAGUGAUGCUGGUGUUAACAAACCUGCACUGCCAGUCAUGUGAAAGUAUAGCACAUAUGAUUAUGUACAGUACAUAAUACUUGAUAAUGGUAAGAACUAUGUUACUAGUUUAUGAAUUCACUGUAGUUUUUAUCACUAUUUUAGAGUGUACUCCUUCUACUUUUUUUUUUAAGUUAACUGUAAAGCAGCCUCAGGCAGGUCCUUCAGAAGGUAUUCUAGGUAUUCUAAGUAUUGUGAUUUUUUUCCACGUAUUCCAAGUAUUGUGUUUUUUUGUUUUGUUUUGUUUUUUUGUUUUUUUUUUUUUUAAGAUGGAGUUUCGCUCUUAUCGCCCAGGCUGGAAUGCAAUGGCACGAUAUCGGCUCACCGCAACCUCUGCCUCCCAGGUUCAAGUGAUUCUCCUGCCUCAGCCUCCCAAAUCCCUUGCGAUUAAACGCAUGCGCCACCAUGCCUGGCUAAUUUUUUGGUAUUUUUAGUAGAGACAGGGUUUCACCAUGUUGGCCAAGCUGGUCUCGAACUCCUGACCUCAGGUGAUCCAACCACCUCAGCCUCCCAAAGUGCUGGGAUUACAGGUGUGAGCCACUGUGCCUGGCCCCAGUUAUUGUUACCAUCAGAUGACAGCUCUGUGCAUGUUAUUACCCAUGAAGACCUUCCAGUGAGACAAGAGAUGGAGGUGGAAGACAGUGAAAUUGAUGAUCCAGAUCUGGUGUAGGCAUAGGCUAUGUUUGUGUUUAAGUCUUAGUUUUUAACCAAAAAAAAAAGUUUAAAACAUAAAAUUAAAAAUUGCCUUAAAUAGAAAAAAAGCUUAUGGAAUAAAGAUAUAAAGAAAGAAAA